GCUCUUAUCGACUAGUUGGUUAGGUCGCAAGACUUUCAAUCUUGAAACCCGGGUUCGAGUCCCGGUAAGAGCG
rnacentral:tRNA from 1 species